rnacentral:rRNA from 1 species
AGCGAACGCUGGCGGCAUGCCUAACACAUGCAAGUCGAACGAACUCUUCGGAGUUAGUGGCGGACGGGUGAGUAACACGUGGGAACGUGCCUUUUGGUUCGGAAUAACUCAGGGAAACUUGUGCUAAUACCGAAUGUGCCCUUCGGGGGAAAGAUUUAUCGCCAUUAGAGCGGCCCGCGUCUGAUUAGCUAGUUGGUGAGGUAACGGCUCACCAAGGCGACGAUCAGUAGCUGGUCUGAGAGGAUGACCAGCCACACUGGGACUGAGACACGGCCCAGACUCCUACGGGAGGCAGCAGUGGGGAAUCUUGCGCAAUGGGCGAAAGCCUGACGCAGCCAUGCCGCGUGAAUGAUGAAGGUCUUAGGAUUGUAAAAUUCUUUCACCGGGGACGAUAAUGACGGUACCCGGAGAAGAAGCCCCGGCUAACUUCGUG